AUUGAACGCUGGCGGCAGGCCUAACACAUGCAAGUCGAGCGGAUGAAGGGAGCUUGCUCCUGGAUUCAGCGGCGGACGGGUGAGUAAUGCCUAGGAAUCUGCCUGGUAGUGGGGGAUAACGUCCGGAAACGGGCGCUAAUACCGCAUACGUCCUGAGGGAGAAAGUGGGGGAUCUUCGGACCUCACGCUAUCAGAUGAGCCUAGGUCGGAUUAGCUAGUUGGUGGGGUAAAGGCCUACCAAGGCGACGAUCCGUAACUGGUCUGAGAGGAUGAUCAGUCACACUGGAACUGAGACACGGUCCAGACUCCUACGGGAGGCAGCAGUGGGGAAUAUUGGACAAUGGGCGAAAGCCUGAUCCAGCCAUGCCGCGUGUGUGAAGAAGGUCUUCGGAUUGUAAAGCACUUUUAGUGGGGAGGAAAGGCAGUAAGUUAAUACCUUGCUGUUUUGACGUUACCAAAAGAAUAAGCACCGGCUAACUUCGUG
rnacentral:rRNA from 1 species